rnacentral:pre_miRNA from 1 species
GUGAUGGUGUGUGUGUGUGUGUGUGUGUGUGUGUGUGCGCGCGCGCGGUCAAGCUCUAGCACCAC